UACGUAGGGGCAAGCGUUGUCCGGAAUCAUUGGGCGUAAAGCGCGCGUAGGCGGCCAGAUAAGUCCGGUGUGAAAGUCAAAGGCUCAACCUUUGAAUGCCGCUGGAAACUGUCUGGCUUGAGUCCGGAAGGGGCGAGUGGAAUUCCUGGUGUAGCGGUGAAAUGCGCAGAUAUCAGGAGGAACACCAAUGGCGAAGGCAGCUCGCUGGAACGGUACUGACGCUGAGAACGGCGAAAGCCGUGGGGAGCAACAGG
rnacentral:rRNA from 1 species